UUUUAUUUAUUUAUUCCUGAGAGGCACAGAGAGAGAGAGAGAGAGGCAGAGACACAGGCAGAGGGAGAAGAAGGCUCCAUGCAGGGAGCCUGACGUGGGACUCGAUCCCAGGACUCAGGAUCACGCCUUGGGCCGAAGGCAGUCGCUAACCACUGAGCCACUCAGGGAUCCCAAGAUUUUAUUUUUUUCCCAAGAUUUUAUUUUUAAAUAACCUCUACACCCAACGUGGGGCUCGAACUUACAACCCUGAGAUCAAGAGUCUCAAGCUCCAUGGACUGAGCCAGCCAGGCGCCCCAUGUCUUUGUGGUUUUGAUUUGCAUUUGCCUUAUGGCUUUGAACAUUUCUUGAAGUGCUUCUCAGCCAUUUGUAUGUCUCCUUUGUCUAUUUUGAAUGUCUAUUCAGAUCCUUCGGCCAUUUUUAAAUUGGGUUGUUUGUCUUUUUAUUAUUGAGUUGUAAGAACCGUGGUAGAUAUUAAGUACAAAGCUGAUUGGAGCUAUUUGCCCAGAGCCAAAGUCUUAUUUGCAGAGUCCCUGAAGUUUGGCCCCUGGGCACGAAACUUCCUGUCCUACUGCCCCAUAGGCUCACAGCCCUGCCCAGCAUGCCCCCCGCCCUCAGUCAGGAGCGAGGCACCUCUCCUUCCUUGCUCACCCCUCUAACCCAAGCAAUUCAGAACAAGCCCCUCCUCACAGGUGGGGAACAUGAGGCUCUGGAAGGUAAAGCCCUUUGCUCAAGGUCACACGGUUGGGGAGGGGCAGCUGGGCUCACACUGAGGUCCAUCCAACUACACCCCACACUUCCUCCACAAAUUUACUGCACAUUUACGUGUCCUGCCUGGGUCAUUUCUCCUUUACACUCAUGUUGCAUCCAUUCUCAUCCCAGCCACUCAAGGUAGGUCAUGCAGACAGUUUUCCUCAUUAUACAGAAGAAGCAGCUCAGGUAAGAGAGGUAAGGUGACUUUCCUAAGCCUCACAGCCAGCAAGAGACAGAGCACACAGCACCAUACCCAGGCACCAGCAGCUGGGGACCAGUCUCUGACCAAAAGCAUCUGACGUCAAUCCCCCUAAACCCAGCCACGCUGCCUGGGGGCUCUGUUUCUCUUCUGGAUCAGAGCCACCUCCACAAACCAGGAAAUUGUAGCAGCCAGCAGUCCACUGAAAUGGACCCAGGCUACCCAAGGUUCCUCCAGGGCAGCCCCCACCCAGCACCAGCUGGGUCCUCUGGCCGGGCACUCCCAGCCCUGCCCAGCCCAGCCCCAUCAGGCCCAGCCCCAGACCUUUGCCCCAGCAAGAAGCAGGACCCUAGUUUUCAUGGGCCUCUGGCCCUGGUUACCUCAUUCUUCUAUCACCCCAGGACCUGGGCACUUGGGGAAGAGGACACAGGCUGCAUGCAUGUGGUUUGCAAGAUGUAUACCAAUCAGAAAAACCCUUAGGUCCAGCUCCAUGAAGUGUCUCAUCCCACCUGAGGUUGCCCUUGACUCCUACUAGAUUACAAAGCUCCCGUUGGGCAAUUAAAAUUAGGACAUUCUAGAUGCCCCACUGGAGCUGACAGACUAGACAAGACAGAGAAUGAAAAAUGAGAAAAAUUGAGUAUGGGGUGCCUGGGUGGCUCAGUCUGUUAAGCGUGUGACUCUUAAUUUUAGCUUCAGGGCAUGAUCUCAGUGUCGUGAGAUUGAGCCCUGUGUCAGGCUCUGUGCUGGGCAUGGAAUCUGCUUGGGAUUCCCUUCUCUCUCCCUCUCCCUCUGCCCAUCUCCUCCCCCUAAGAAAGAAAAGAAAAGAAAGAAAAGAAAAGAAAAGAAAAGAAAAAAGAAAAGAAAAGAAAAGAAAAGAAAAGAAAAGAAAAGAAAAGAAAAGAAAAGAAAAGAAAAGAGAAGAAAAAUUGAGUAUGACAGUGUUAAAACCUAAGGAGAAGUCUGUAAAGGAGACAGGACCUUGUGGGGUGAGUGGCCACAGUUUUAAACAGUGUGGUCAGGGAAGGCCUGGCUGGGAGCAAACACUUAGAGAAGAAGAUAUGGAGUCAGGACAGCUACAAUCAAACAGCACUAACAUCGUGUUUUGCAGCUUAGACAGGACCGUAGUAGCAUUCUGCUUUGCAGCCUUUGCAGAAAUGACUUUGGCAGAAUGUCCUAAAGUAAGAUGGUUAACCGCAAAGCAUUUGUCCAUAUCAUAGGCAAUGGGCAGUUAAGACCUAAGCCCCCAGAUGUCAGCAAAAGACCACCUGCACAUUGACCUUAACCUAGUAGGUAGACAGAGACGUAACCAAAGCCCCAAUCUCAGCACAACUUUUAGCACACUCUGGUUGCUUUAAGAGUUGCUUUGGUUGCUUUGGUUCUGCAAAGGGGAUCCCUGGGAGGCUCAGUGGUUUAGUGCCUGCCUUCAGCCCAGGGCAUGAUCCUGGAGUCCCGGGAUUGAGUCCCGGGAUCAAGUCCCACAUCGGGCUCCUUGCACGGAGCCUGCCUCUCCCUCUGCCUCUCUCUCUCUCUCGAAUAAAUAAAUAAAAUCUCUGCAAAAAAGCUCAUAAAACCCCUAAAUUUAGAGACUCCAAGGGAAAUCCAUGCAGGCCCCCCCUCCCUCUCUGGGAGCUUUAUAAUCUUACCCAAUAAACCUUGCUUUGCUGCCCACCACUCUUCGUCUGGUUCGAAGUGGCAUGACCAAGAACGGCAGGCACUGAGAGGACAAAAGUCCUGUAAUACCACCAAUGCCAAUGCCAAAAGGCUCCAAGCAGGGUCAGGGAGAGCUCAAGAAUGGGAGUGUUACAAUUAAUAAAGGGAACCCUCACUGAAGUAGACCAGGCAUGUAGGAGGGGAGGCUGGUGGGGGAGCCUAUCACUCCGUGUCAAUUACAGGAAGAAUCCUCAAUUACAGACCUCAACAAGGAAAGAUGUACAUGACAUAUUUCAUCUCCUGUAAGAAAUCUACGACUCCUGGGACACCAGAGUGGCUCAAUGGUUGAGCGUCUGCCUUUGGCCCAGGUCAUGAUCCCGGGGAGCUGAGAUGGAGUUCCACAUAGGGUUCCCUGCAGGGAGCCUGUUCUCCCAUUGUCUAUGUCUCUGCCUCUCUCUCUAUGUCUCUCAUGAGUAAGUAAAUGAAAUCUUAAAAAAAAAGAAAGAAAGAAAUCCACGACCCCUGAAACUCCACAGAUGAGAUACCAUCAUUGUCCUGAGCUCCUACUUGUCUCCUAUCUCCAAUGAACUUUGGUUCAAAACAAGCCUUCCCAAUUUCCUCCUUCUUCUCCAUAAAAUAAUGUUCUUCUGUUGGACCUGUCUAUUGUUGGUUUUGCUGUAGUUGGCUUGUUUUGGAUUACAAUUCCCUAUAUUCCCAAAGAAAUGCAUUUUUGCUGGUAAACUAUUUGGCAGUAAGGUCAGCACUACUUGGUGAUGAGAGGUGGGAUCCAGAGAAGACCCCCAACAGCUCUGGGGCUGGUGAGCAGACAGGCACCCGUACCCAUAGAGCCCAACUAGCAGCGUUCUCACUGACCAUGGAGGUUGAGGGCACAUUUUCUCCUGGAUUUCAAGCUCUGUGCUUUGUGUCCAAAAUCUCUAGGCUUUACUUGGGAGCUGUUUUAAGGCUUUAGUCUUUGUUGAUUUUUUUUUUUUUUAAUCUCUGAGGGCAUUCAUUCAUUGGCCUCCAGAGCUCCUGGAAUGGAGUACCCAUCGGGCUCCCAGCAAGGAGCCUGCUUCUCCCUCUGCCUGUGUCUCUCUUUCUGUGUCUCUCAUAAACAAAUAAAUAAAAAUCUUUUAAAAGUAAAAAAUAAACAUAAAUAAAUAUUUAAAUAAAUAAAUAAACCUCCAGUUUCCUGCAUUCCCUGGACUAAGGCUGGAUUACAAGCUUCAGGUAAAAGAGAUUCCUAAAGUCACUGAGGACCCCGGUAGCUUGCUGAAGAAUCUAACAUAGUUAUUCAAAUCUACCAACCUGGUUUCUCAGAGUUAUAUCAAUCGGUCUACAUACCUGUAGGUGAGGACCAGGCCAAUCACUGGAUAAAACAAACUGGAAAGUAACAUCCUGAAGGGGAUUUCGAGACAGAAACCCCCAACUUUUGGCAAGAUGCCAGAACAUUCUGCUGGAAAUCCCCACCAAGCAAUUAUAGUGGCCACCUGCAGACUGAAACAAGAUUCAGGCUUGCACACAAAAAUCUGUUCAUAACUAUUACCGUCAACUCCAAAUUGUCCUUUAAGGAUAUUCUGGGGGGACCUGGGUGGCUGAGUCCAUGAAGCAUCUGACUUUUGAUUUCAGCUCAAGUCUUGAUCUCA
rnacentral:tRNA from 1 species